GACUAUUUAAAGAGAAUAAAACCCUAGAAUCCUAAUCUAACUAGGAAAGAUAAUUACCUAUACUAAUUAAAUACCUAAUAAUCUCCUAACCACUACUAACUCACGGCAAUAUAUAUAUUAUAAAUAUACUAAUCUAAUUAAUUAAUAAUAAACUAUUAACUAAACUAAUACUUAAACGAUAUAUUAAAUAAUAUAUCGCAUCAAACCACCCCUUUUGAAAUGAACCUUGCCCUCAAGGUUCGAGUUAAAUUGGUCUCUCUCCUUUGCGUUUCCACCUAUGUUUGACUUCAUCGACUUGCUUCCCGAUUGACUCCGAAAAACAUGACGAACGAUCAAGAUCUUUACCACAUUGUUUAUGUUGAUUGAACGAACUGCUAAAGGUUUUUGGAAAAAUUGUCAGUAUUUUUCCCGAUAAAUAAGCCUCUUCAAUUACCUUUUCAGAUUCCGGUUCAUUCACAAUCACCAAUUCUUGUUCGUCUUUUUUCCUUUCAACAUCAUGGGACUCUUCUAAUAUCCACUGUAGUUCUUCGUUCUCUUCCUUAGUUAAUUCCUCACCUUCGUCCCAAAUUACCUCAAGUGAAUCCGAUAAUUCAUCUUUCGGCGAACUCACAAAAAAUUGAGGUUCUUCGAAAAAGUCAUCGUCGUCCUCUUCCUCUCCCUCCGACGAUAGGCUCGGCAGCGGCGGUGGUGGUGAUGGCCGUGGCGGUGACGGGCAGCGGUCCCUUCGGCUUUUUUGAUGGCGUUGACGUCGUCCUUGACUUUGUUCGAGCAAUUUCUGAAAAUUAAUCCGUAAUUUCUCUACGGAUUUUUCCAAUCGCUCCAACCGUCUUGUUUCUGACAUCAUGAUUUUCACAAAGUUUUGAUGUGAUCUCAACUUCUCAACUUUGCUCCAGCGUAGCUUUGAUGUAAUCGCUGCCUUGCUAACGAAGCGUUGGUGUUAAUCGCAACUUCGCUCUGCAAUUAUUGGAACCUUGAGGACAAGGUUCAUUUCAAGAGGGGUGGUUUGAUACGAUAUAUUAUUAUUUAAUAUAUCGUUAAUUAUUAGUUAGUCAUUAUUUAAUUAUUAAAUAAAUAGAAUAGUUGUUUAGGGUUAUAGAUGGCCGUGAGUUAGUAAUGGUUAGGAGAUUAUUAGGUAUUUAAUUAGUUUAGGUAAUUAUCUUUCCUAGUUAGAUUAGGAUUCUAGGGUUUUAUUCUCUUUAAAUAGUCGUAUUGUGCUAGGGUUUUGAUUAUGAAGAGAAAUAAUAAACAAGAGUUUUCUUACGCUUUCGUAAAGAAAUCUUAUGAUACACAAGAGAUAGGAGAGACUCGUUUAUUUGAGGAUGCUGCUGCAAGAAAUCUGAUUUGCCGCUUCAAAUUGCCCCCGGUGUAAUCCCAGUCGGCCACCUUGAAUUCACGUCGGAUCGACUACUUCAUCACAUGUCUCCACCAUCGUUGACUCUUUAACGUAUUGUUUGUUAUGGUCAAACAAUUCAUUAAACAUCAUCGAGGAAAUAUUUGACACUUUUAGUGAUACAUCAAUCUUCUCAAUAGAUUGACUCUUUAACGUAUUGUUUGUUAUGGUCAAACAAUUCAUUAAACAUCAUCUCGCGAAAUUUUGAGAUAAAUUACUAAUUAUUAACCAAAAUAAAUCGGUUAUUAAUUUAGGCCUCUUGUGUAUCGCAUAAAAGUUUUGAAGAGUUGGCCACUCGAGCACAUGAUAUGGAAUUGAGCAUAACUGCAAAUGAAGUCGAAGAACCUUCAUUCCAAAAGUCGUAUCAGCUCAAAGAAGAACAUGUUGAAGAAGAACAAGAAGAUCAUGAGGAUGGGGGCAAGUCUUUUGAAGAAACGACACCCUAUGCAAUAUGACAAGUCAAAUAAAUGAAGUACUUCAAGUCUCGUCUCACAAAUAUGCAACAUGUUCUUCGCCGAGACUAGAAGUGGGGGCAUUUGUAGACAUCGAAAUUUUGAGAUAAAUUACUAAUUAAUAACCAAAAUAAAUCGGUUAUUAAUUUAGGUCUCAAAUUAAAGUCCAUAAUAUAUUUGGGCUUUAAAAUGUCUGGCCCACUCUACAAGUCGAGAAACCCUAACCCUAGAUUGUGCCUAUAAAAGAAGAUCUUUGGUGCAUCUAAAAAAUCAGACUCACAAAGACACAUAUCGAGCUCUCAAGCUCACGUCCCGAGCCUCCGCCUCGAAUUCAUAACAUAUUUGAAUUCGAGAUGUUCGUGAUAGGAAAUCAUAUAUUCGAUUCCUCGAAUUCAUAACAUAUUUAAAUUCGAGAUGUUCGUGAUAGGAAAUCAUAUGUUCGAUUCAAGAACAAGCUUUUAAGCCCUUGAAUCAAAAUUAGAAUAGGAGAGAAGAAUCAGGGGAAUUACGGAGAUUGUAAUCCACAUCGUUUUGAUUAAUAAAUUAUUUGUUCCCUAUUUUCUUGUCUUGUAUUUUUAUUAUAUUUUGCAGACUUGAAAAUUUGUGGUUAACAAAUUGGCACGCCCGGUGGGACAAUCUUCGCCCCUCAUCUCUUCCUCCGAUAUCCAUGUCCUCGAUAUUGUCGUUGUUACCAGUAGUCAAAUCAAACAUUUGGGGGCAAGACAAUUCACAAAAUUCAGUCAAAACUCAAAUACCUCAAAUUCAUUACGAGAGAGGUUAGCUUCAAAUCACUUCUCUUUACAGUAGAAGGAAAUUUGGCAAAUUCAAAAGGAUAUUUUCCUUAAUAUGAGAUGGUAACUAAUACGGAUCUCUCCUUGAUGGGCAACUGAGGAUUUGUGCUCAAUUUAAGGAUCCACCAAAUCUUUAUAUUGAAGGAAAUUUCCUAAACAAUUAGCAAAGUUCAGCAAAAGAAAAAGGAACAUGCCACGGCAACAAACAAAGCUACGACGGUGGACCCACGGCAAACAUCCCCAUAUCUGUCAGAGUUCACCAUCCUCAACAAAUGCAGCCAUGGACCAUUGGGCUCUGUUACUAAAUCUCUCCACCACAUCAAAUUGAGGAGGCCGUCGGAAUAUGCUCGCCGACAAAUGCCACAUCGCCACCAGAAGCAGCCGUCGGUGUAAUCUCGUUCCAACCUCCAUAUAUCCAAAUAUGUCUCCGCCAUCGGAAGUGUCGCACCUCCUCCCACCGGAGAUCCCAUUGAUAACUCUCGAAAGAUAGAUUUGCACCAGCGAACUACCAAUCGUCGCCCGAAGCACUCACCGGUGUCAUCACUUUUGCCGCCGCUGCGAGAGAAGUGCGUUUGUUCGAGGAUGCUACUGCAAUAAGAGUCUGCUUUAAAUUGCCGGCCAAUACAAAGUCCAGUCAGCCACCUUCAACUCACGUCGACCGAACAGCUGGCCCAUGUCUUGUUCCACAAACACAAGGCAAUAGGCGGAAAACACUCCACCAUGGCACUCCGCUCCGCCGCCUCAACCUCGCCGCCGACCGGAAACGCCAUCACCGUGUAAAGCACUCGACGGUGUUAUCUCAUGUUCCCACCGCCGCAAACCGUUGGCCGCUCAGAUCCGCCUCCUCAAACUCACCCUCGACUGGAGGACCGCGCCGCAUGUUCUCUCGAAGACAUAAAGACGGUUGCGUACGAGCCAAAUCUCACCCAUUGCCGCUCCUCCUUGCUGCAGUCCUUGGUCGCCACAGUCACGAUAUACAUAAAUGGCAGUUCAAUACAAAUCUCGUUAAACCCACGAGAAGGGAACGAGAGUUGGUGAAAGGUUGUGUUCCAAUGGCGGAUGGCAACCAAAAUAUGUCGCCCGGCGGUGGAAUGGUAGCAGUGAAAAUGGAGAAGAAGAUUUUGGUCGGCCGAAUAAAGAAGGCGGGGCAGAAAAAUCAAAUCCUCCAAUCAAGUCUUAAAUUGCAAUUGGGUCCCUAGGUGGAAAAGAAAGAAAUAUCACUUUUGCCUCAAAUUUCAACCCUCCAAUAACAAAAGGGAACUUUUCAUUGAAGUCCCCAAAAGUGAUGGCAAUUCCAUAUACACCCAUAAAAAUGGAGGACAAGAGUUUUGAAGCCAACAAAUGAAAGAAAAUUCGAGUACCUUCGACGGCGGUGGCUCUUUGAUACCAAUUGAUACGAUCUCUUGUGUAUAAAGCGUAAGAAAACUCUUGUUUAUUAUUUCUCUUCAUAAUCAAAACCCUAGCACAAUACGACUAUUUAAAGAGAAUAAAACCCUAGAAUCCUAAUCUAACUAGGAAAGAUAAUUACCUAAACUAAUUAAAUACCUAAUAAUCUCCUAACCAUUACUAACUCACGGCCAUCUAUAACCCUAAACAACUAUUCUAUUUAUUUAAUAAUUAAAUAAUGACUAACUAAUAAUUAACGAUAUAUUAAAUAAUAAUAUAUCGUAUCAAACCACCCCUCUUGAAAUGAACCUUGUCCUCAAGGUUCCAAUAAUUGCAGCUCUCUCUUUUGCGCUUCCACCUGUGUUUGACUACAUCGAAUUGCGUCCCGAGUGAAUCCGAAAAACAUGACGAACGAUCAAGAUUUUUACCACAUUGUUUAGGUUGAUCGAACGAACUCCUCAAGGCUUUUGGAAAAAUUCUCAAUAUUUUUCCCGAUAAAUAAGCCUCUUCAAUUACCUUUUCAGAUUCCGGUUCAUUCACAAUCACCAAUUCUUGUUCGUCUUUUUUCCUUUCAACAACAUGGAAAUCUCCCAAUAUCCAUUGUAGUUCUUCAUUCUCAUCUGUGGUUAAUUCCUCAUCUUCGUCCCAAAUUAUCUCCGUUAACUCCGAUUCUUCUUCUUUCGUCUCCUCGUCCCACUUUAUACCAGUUGAAUCUGAUUCUUCUUCUUCCGGCGAACUCACAAAAAAUUGGGGUUCUUUGAAAAAAUCACCGUCGUCCUCUUCCUCUUCCUUUUGCGGUAGGCUUGGCAUUGGCGGCGGCGGUGGAUCUUCGAAAAAGUCAUCAUCAUCCUCGUCCUCUUCCUCCGGCGAUAGGCUCGGCGGCGGCGGUAGUGGUGUUGUUGGUCGGCGGUGGCGGUCUCUUCGGCUCUUAUGUUGGCGCCGUCCUUGACUUUGUUCGAGCAGUUUUUGGAGACCAAUCCGUAUCUCCUCCACGGAUUUUUCCAAUCGCUCUAAACGUUUUCUCUCGGACGACAUAAUUUCGCAAAGUGUUGAUGUAAUCUCAACUUUGCUCCAGCGUAGCUUUGAUAUAAUCUCUGCCUUGCUAACGAAGCGUUGGUGUUAAUCGCAACUUCGCUCUGAUACCAAUUGAUGCGAUCUCUUGUGUAUCAUAAGAUUUCUUUACUUAACGUAAGAAAACUCUUCUAAAUUCCGGUUCAUUGAUGUGAUCUCUUGUGUAUCACAAAUAUUUCAUACGAAACGUAAGAUCUAUUCUUUAUUAUUUCUCUCUGCAUUCUAAAACCCUAGCACAGUACGACUAUUUAAAGAGAAUAAAACCCUAGAAUCCUAAUCUAACUAGGAAAGAUAAUUACCUAAACUAAUAAAAUACUUAAUAUCUAUCCUAUAAUCAUUAAACCUACGGCUCUAACUAAAUUAAUACUUAAAUAAUAUAUAUUAAAUAAUUAAAUAAUAACUAAUGAAUAAAUAUACGAUAUAUUAAAUAUAUAUCGUAUCAAACCACCCCUCUUGAAAUGAACCUUGUCCUCAAGGUUCGAGUCAAUUUGAUCCCUCUCCUUUGCGUUUCCACCUAUGUUUGACUUCAUUGACUUGCUUCACGAUUGACUCCGAAAAACACGAUGAACGACCGAGCUUUUUAAUACAUUGUUCAUGCUGAUCCAUCGAAAUUCCAAAGGCUACUUUAGCGAAAAUAUCCAAUCUUUUUCCCGAUAAAUAAACUUUUUCAAUCGUCUUUGUAGAUUUUGUCUCCUCCAAACUGACCAUCGGUUCUUCUUCUCCUUUCUUUUGAACACCAUGGAAAUCUCCCAAUAUCCAUAGUAACUCUUCGCUCUCCUCUCUGGUUAAUUUCUCGUCUUCGUCCCACUUUAUCUCGGUUGACUCCGAUUCUUCUUCUUUCGGCUCUUCGUCCCACUUCAUCUCAGUUGAAUCUGAUUCCUCUUCUUCUGGCGAACUCACAAAAAAUUGGAGUUCUUCGAAAAAGUCAUCGUCGUCCUCUUCCUCUUCUUCCGGCGAUAGGCUCGGCAGCGGCGGCGGCGGUGGCUCUUUGAAAAAUUCAUCGUCGUCCUCUUCCUCUUCCUCCGGCGAUAGGCUCGGCAGCGGCAGCGGCGGUGGCGUUGGCGGUAAUGGGCGGCGGUCCCUUCGACUUUUGUGUUGGUGUUGACGUCGUCUGUGACUUUGUUCGAGCAAUUUCUGAAAAUCAAUCCGUAAUCUCUCUACAGAUUUCUCCAAUCGCUCUAACCGUCUUGUUUCGGACAUCAUGAUUUUCACAAAGUUUUGAUGUGAUCUCAACUUUGCUCCAGCUUAGCUUUGAUAUAAUCUCUGCUUUGCUAACGAAGCGUUGGUGUUAUCGCAACUUCGCUUUGAUACCAAUUGAUACGAUCUCUUGUGUAUCAUAAAUAUUUCCUACGAAACGUAAGAUCUAUUAUUUAAUAUUUCUCUCUGCAUAAUAAAACCCUAGCACAAAACGACUAUUUAAAGAGAAUAAAACCCUAGAAUCCUAAUCUAACUAGGAAAGAUAAUUACCUAUACUAAUUAAAUACCUAAUAAUCUCCUAACCACUACUAACUCACGGCAAUAUAUAUAUUAUAAAUAUACUAAUCUAAUUAAUUAAUAAUAAACUAUUAACUAAACUAAUACUUAAACGAUAUAUUAAAUAAUAUAUCGCAUCAAACCACCCCUUUUGAAAUGAACCUUGCCCUCAAGGUUCGAGUUAAAUUGGUCUCUCUCCUUUGCGUUUCCACCUAUGUUUGACUUCAUCGACUUGCUUCCCGAUUGACUCCGAAAAACAUGACGAACGAUCAAGAUCUUUACCACAUUGUUUAUGUUGAUUGAACGAACUGCUAAAGGUUUUUGGAAAAAUUGUCAGUAUUUUUCCCGAUAAAUAAGCCUCUUCAAUUACCUUUUCAGAUUCCGGUUCAUUCACAAUCACCAAUUCUUGUUCGUCUUUUUUCCUUUCAACAUCAUGGGACUCUUCUAAUAUCCACUGUAGUUCUUCGUUCUCUUCCUUAGUUAAUUCCUCACCUUCGUCCCAAAUUACCUCAAGUGAAUCCGAUAAUUCAUCUUUCGGCGAACUCACAAAAAAUUGAGGUUCUUCGAAAAAGUCAUCGUCGUCCUCUUCCUCUCCCUCCGACGAUAGGCUCGGCAGCGGCGGUGGUGGUGAUGGCCGUGGCGGUGACGGGCAGCGGUCCCUUCGGCUUUUGUGAUGGCGUUGACGUCGUCCUUGACUUUGUUCGAGCAAUUUUUGAAAAUUAAUCCGUAAUUUCUCUACGGAUUUUUCCAAUCGCUCCAACCGUCUUGUUUCUGACAUCAUGAUUUUCACAAAGUUUUGAUGUGAUCUCAACUUCUCAACUUUGCUCCAGCGUAGCUUUGAUGUAAUCGCUGCCUUGCUAACGAAGCGUUGGUGUUAAUCGCAACUUCGCUCUGAUACCAAUUGAUGUGAUCUCUUGUGUAUCACAAAUAUUUCAUACGAAACGUAAGAUCUAUUCUUUAUUAUUUCUCUCUGCAUUCUAAAACCCUAGCACAGUACGACUAUUUAAAGAGAAUAAAACCCUAGAAUCCUAAUCUAACUAGGAAAGAUAAUUACCUAAACUAAUAAAAUACUUAAUGUCUAUCCUAUAAUCAUUAAACCUACGGCUCUAACUAAAUUAAUACUUAAAUAAUAUAUAUUAAAUAAUUAAAUAAUAACUAAUGAAUAAAUAUACGAUAUAUUAAAUAUAUAUCGUAUC
rnacentral:lncRNA from 1 species